UACGAAGGGUGCUAGCGUUGUUCGGAAUUACUGGGCGUAAAGCGCGCGUAGGCGGCUAUUCAAGUCAGGGGUGAAAUCCUUGGGCUCAACCCAAGAAUUGCCUUUGAAACUGUAUAGCUUGAGUGUCGGAGGGGAUAGCGGAAUUCCUAAUGUAGAGGUGAAAUUCGUAGAUAUUAGGAGGAACACCGGUGGCGAAGGCGGCUAUCUGGACGACAACUGACGCUGAGGCGCGAAAGCGCGGGGAUCAAACAGG
rnacentral:rRNA from 1 species